rnacentral:tRNA from 1 species
GCCUGGGUGGCUCAGUCGGUGAAGCAUCCGAUUUCGGCUCAGGUUAUAAUCUCAUAGUUUGUGGGUUCGAGCCCCACAUCAGGCU